rnacentral:misc_RNA from 1 species
GAUGAAGAACGUAGCGAAAUGCGAUAAGUAAUGUGAAUUGCAGAAUUCAGUGACUCAUCGAAUCUUUGAACGCACAUUGCGCCCGCCAGUAUUCUGGCGGGCAUGCCUGUUCGAGCGUCAUUUCAACCAUCAAGCCCCAGGCUUGUGUUGGGGGCCUGCAGCUGCUGCAGCCCCCUAAAAGCAGUGGCGGACUCGCUGUCAUACCGAGCGCAGUAGUUACAUCUCGCUCUGGGCAUGGCGGCGGGCACCUGCCGUAAAACACUCUUUCUAAGGUUGACCUCGGAUCAGGUAGGAAUACCCGCUGAACUUAAGCAUAUCAAUAAGCGGAGGA